rnacentral:lncRNA from 10 species
GCUGGAACAGGACACUGCCUUAGGACUGAGGGCAAGGAGGACAAGAGGAUCUGACGCGUGAGCUUCCGUGAUUGGCUUCUGCGAUUGGCUCAGGAGCUGCCACAUGACCCACGCUGGGCCAAUCAGAGCCAGCGAGCAUCAUCCCGGGACUUUGCAGGAACAACCUGGCUCUUUCCAUGAGGAUUGCUAAAGGGGUAGGAGAGGAGCCUGGAGCCGUUGGGGGCAUCAUUGUCACACCGAGGAGAGGAUGCCUGAGAAUGACUCUGGCACCGAAAAGAAGAGCUGAGAGAUGAAACAAGUUGUUGACGUCAUUUGAGUGCCUGGAUCCAAGCAUACUCCUGAUUCGGAUCCGUCUUUUGAUUUUUCAGCUUACUCAAGCCAAUGAAUCCCAUUUUCUAUUUUAGGGAGUUUGAAUUGGGCUCCUGCCACUUGUGACCAAAAGUGACCAAAAGGUCCUAAGUAUCCUCAGGACCUCGUAAGCGUCUGAUGCAAAGUAAGUUUUAGGGACUGGCAUUCCUUGGAACACCUAGAACGUCCUUUCUUCUUUGGACACUGGCUCCCUGGGGGAGCCCUUCCAUUCUCGUGGCACAUGCGAUGUUGGUCAGCAUGUGCACUUUGAGACCAAACACCUGGGUUCAAAUUCAAGCUAAGCCAAUUACUAGAUGUGCAACCAGAGGAAAAUUCCGUACUCUCCAUGCCUUAGUUUCUCCAUCUGUAAAAUGAGAUUCAUACUACUACUUACUUCAUAGGGUUACUGGGGCCUUUUAGUGAGUUAAUAUAUGUGAAAUGCUUACACUGGAGUUCAACACAUAAUUAGCACUCAGUAGAGUCAAGCUGAUAUUAGCAGUGUACUGGUGACUUCUGAAUCUAGAUCUCGAAUUCAUACUGGCUGCUGAGGUCCAGGCCAAUGGACAACUCUGUUGAAUGGGCCCAAGACUGGGCUUAGCCUCUACCCUACCUCCCACAACUCAUGCCCCAUUGGCAUCUGAUUCCAAAGCUCGGUUACUCAUGCCAGAAAACUGAAGCUUUUCCUGGAAUACUGCCCCCCUCCCACCCCCAUAUCUAGGCAUCGGCAAGUCCUGUUGAUUCCACCUCCUCAAUAUCGUCUGGAGAUUCUUGCUAUUCAAAGUGUGGCCUGUGGACCAGUAGCGUCGACAUCAGACUCUCGGCCUCACCCGGGACCUAAGGACUGAAAUCUGUAUUUUCACAACAUCCUCAGAUGGUUUGUAUGAACAUUAAACCCCUUCUGAUUUUCUCAACCUUGGCCGCACAUUGACAUCACCAGGGGUGGGGAGGGGCAGAUCUUUUAAAAUGCUGAUGCCCGGGUCCCACCUCCAUAGACUCUGACUGCAUCAGUGGAAGGUGUCAAAUACAAUAGUCCUCUGGCCUCCAGGGUAACCCCUGCCAUUCCAUCCCUGACGCUUCAGCCAAGGUGGCCUUCUACAGCAGGAAAGAAUUGUGCCCACUCCAACAGAGAGGUACCACACAGGUACAGAAACAAAAGUCAUUUUCUCUUACUGACCCCAACUUCCUCAUAAGGCUCCUCAUGCUGCUGACAGCAGGUAAAACAAACAAAGAAACUGAUUUUACCAAUUAAAAAGGCCCCAGUGACCCUAUGCAGUAAGUAGUAGUAUGAGUCCCAUUUUACAGAUGGGGAAACUGAGGCACGGAGAGAGUAAGGAAUUUUCCUCUGGUUGCGCAUUUAGUGAUUGGCUUAGCUUGAAUUUGAACCCAGGCGUUUGUUCUCAAAGCGCAUGUGCCAUGAGAAUUGGUACCUUGGUCUUUCAAGGCCAAGGUGAUGCUGUCCUGCAAGGGUUCUCCUCCUACCCACACCAGAGCUUUCCUUCCUGAUCUAGGCUGUGCAUUCGGGGGCACAUGCAUAUCCUCACGGUGGCGGGGGAAUGACUGCUUGCCCAUCUGUGUCCUCUGCCCCCCCUCUACUCCAGGGCCUCAGGUGUACUGAGUCACUUAUCUCUGAGCUUUGGCCUCUCUGGUCGCUGAAUCUGCUGGUGCAGUCUUGGUUCCUCCUGGCCUGCAGAUGUGUGCCCACACCCCUGCUGCUGAUGAUGGGCCCUGCCAUCGCCUCCCUGUGGCCUCCUUGCCCUCAUCCUCUGGGCUCCUCUGAAGCUCCUCACUGCUCC